UACGUAGGGGGCAAGCGUUGUCCGGAUUUAUUGGGCGUAAAGAGCGUGUAGGCGGCCAGACAGGUCCGUUGUGAAAACUCGAGGCUCAACCUCGAGAUGUCGAUGGAAACCGUCUGGCUAGAGUCCGGAAGAGGAGUGUGGAAUUCCUGGUGUAGCGGUGAAAUGCGCAGAUAUCUGGAAGGAACACCGGUGGCGAAGGCGG
rnacentral:rRNA from 1 species